rnacentral:rRNA from 1 species
UACGUAGGGUGCGGGCGUUAAUCGGAAUUACUGGGCGUAAAGCGUGCGCAGGCGGUGAUGUAAGACCGAUGUGAAAUCCCCGGGCUUAACCUGGGAACUGCAUUGGUGACUGCAUCGCUCGAGUAUGGCAGAGGGGGGUAGAAUUCCACGUGUAGCAGUGAAAUGCGUAGAGAUGUGGAGGAACACCGAUGGCGAAGGCAGCCCCCUGGGUCAAGACUGACGCUCAUGCACGAAAGCGUGGGGAGCAAACAGG